UAUCUGAAACAAAUGCCACAAACAUUUUCUUGGUCAAGAAAGGCCGUGUUUUAACCCCUCAUGCUGAUUAUUGUCUUCUUGGGAUUACUCGAGCAACUAUUAUGGAGCUUGUUGUAAAUGAAAAAUUUGAGCUAGUGGAACGAAGAAUUAGCUUAUCUGAGUUCCAUGCAGCAGAUGAGGUAUCCUGUUGUUUUUCUAUCGAAAGCAUUUAUAUGGAAUACUUCUGAAAUUCUAAAGUAACUGCAUAUAAUUGAUGAAGUUCCUUUGAACCAUAUGAAAAGGCCUUAUUUGCUUCU